CGCGGAGUCCCGGGAACGCGGGGGAGGUGGCCGUGCAGUUUCUGGCACUAACUCGGGCGUCCUCCCGAAGCCUUAGUUCCGCCGCGAGUAACGACACAGAAGUAAGGAAGAAGUCUGCACCGGCUCUACGGGUGAACUGAGAUUCAGCAUAAUCCAGUGAGCACGUCUCCUAGAUGCUAUGGACUCCUUGUCCCAGGACGAGACCAGGGCAGGAGCCCCAGUUCGCCUGGGUAUGGAAGUGGUACUUCUAGAAAGGUGACUCUGACUGCAGCCAGGGUUGAGAACUCCUGGAUCUGAUGAUACUCUCCAACGUCCCUCUCCUGUCUCCACCUGAAUUUCUCCAUCUGUAAAAAGAACACUUUGGGCAAGUUCAUCAGUCUCUCAGCUUCUCUUAUUUCUGGGACUCGAGACCUCCCUGAGACUCAGUGAUUCAAACACGCGGGGCUUUGUCAGAGGAGGAACCACGGCUCCCAGGAAGGCCCUCGGCAUGGGGUCCACCUGCACUUGAGUGAAGCGCGGGAUGGGAGCUGGGGUUUGAGGCCUGAGCAGACAAGUGCUGCAUGAGAACCAGGCCCCGUGGACGGAGCUGCCAAGGUUGGGACUUGGCACAGAGGAGGCCGUGUCUCAACUCGCAUGAGUGGCCUGACGCUUCGGGGCAGCUCCUCAGCCUCGCCAGGCACCUGCGGGGCCGGGGCUUUUUGGCAGGUGAGGAGGAGAGAGCAGAAUAGGGUGUUUCUCCAGCUGUUCCCCGGAACAACAUCUCUUGACACCUGGCGAGACGAGGGCUGGAAAAGAUAAGCCACUGCGUGUUCCUGUGAAGCCUUGCGGAUGGGGAGGCAGGAGAGGGAGUUGGUGCUGAAGCGCCACUUUCCAGCCCUGCGUCUGGAGUUUAGCAUGUUCCGGGCACUGUGAAUGAGACCGGCUGACGCUUUGUAUCAGAUGUAAAGUGGCUUCUUUUCACACACUGGCACUGAAGGCAGAUGACCGCUCAGGCAGGAUGCAGAGCUCUCCGGGAGCUUGGCAGGGCCGACCAAGGCCCUGAAUCGCAGCUCUAUGGGGCAGCGGGGACAAUGCUGCCCGCUCUGAGAAGUGGGCACCGGAGAGCAGGAUUCCCAAGCCUGGAGGGGAUGAAGUUCCCCUGUUAGGGACCAAUGAGCUGCUUUUGCCACCACGCACCCUUCCUGGAGCCCAGGUCUGAAGUGCGAGGACCACAUAUUCCACACCACUCUGAGACCUGAGGUCUCAGUUCUAGAGACUGGAAACCAAAAUUCUGGAAUGUCCAGGAUAACCCCACCAUUUACAAGAACCAUAGGAGGGAAUACUAUAAGGAUCGUCCCUGAAAAUCUGAG
rnacentral:lncRNA from 1 species